UUAAUUGAAGCCAAAAUAGAGGCAUAUUACUGUUAAUAAUAUUAUUGAACAAUUAUAUGUUCCAAUUAAG
rnacentral:tRNA from 1 species